GAUGAACGCUAGCGGCAGGCUUAACACAUGCAAGUCGAGGGGUAUAGUAGCAAUACUAGAGACCGGCGCACGGGUGCGUAACGCGUAUGCAACCUACCUUUUACAGAGGGAUAGCCCCAGAGAAAUUUGGAUUAAUACCUCAUAGUGUUAUUAGAUGGCAUCAUUUGAUAACUAAAGUUCCAACGGUAAAAGAUGGGCAUGCGUCCUAUUAGCUAGAUGGUAAGGUAACGGCUUACCAUGGCUACGAUAGGUAGGGGUCCUGAGAGGGAGAUCCCCCANACUGGUACUGAGACACGGACCAGACUCCUACGGGAGGCAGCAGUGAGGAAUAUUGGACAAUGGGCGCAAGCCUGAUCCAGCCAUGCCGCGUGCAGGAANAAGCAUCUAUGGUGUG
rnacentral:rRNA from 1 species